UGCAAGUCGAACGCUUUGUGGUUCAACUGAUUUGAAGAGCUUGCUCAGAUAUGACGAUGGACAUUGCAAAGAGUGGCGAACGGGUGAGUAACACGUGGGAAACCUACCUCUUAGCAGGGGAUAACAUUUGGAAACAGAUGCUAAUACCGUAUAACAAUGACAACCGCAUGGUUGUUAUUUAAAAGAUGGUUCUGCUAUCACUAAGAGAUGGUCCCGCGGUGCAUUAGCUAGUUGGUAAGGUAAUGGCUUACCAAGGCGAUGAUGCAUAGCCGAGUUGAGAGACUGAUCGGCCACAAUGGGACUGAGACACGGCCCAUACUCCUACGGGAGGCAGCAGUAGGGAAUCUUCCACAAUGGGCGAAAGCCUGAUGGAGCAACGCCGCGUGUGUGAUGAAGGGUUUCGGCUCGUAAAACACUGUUGUAAGAGAAGAAUGACAUUGAGAGUAACUGUUCAAUGUGUGACGGUAUCUUACCAGAAAGGAACGGCUAAAUACGUGCCAGCAGCCGCGGUAAUACGUAUGUUCCAAGCGUUAUCCGGAUUUAUUGGGCGUAAAGCGAGCGCAGACGGUUAUUUAAGUCUGAAGUGAAAGCCCUCAGCUCAACUGAGGAAUUGCUUUGGAAACUGGAUGACUUGAGUGCAGUAGAGGAAAGUGGAACUCCAUGUGUAGCGGUGAAAUGCGUAGAUAUAUGGAAGAACACCAGUGGCGAAGGCGGCUUUCUGGACUGUAACUGACGUUGAGGCUCGAAAGUGUGGGUAGCAAACAGGAUUAGAUACCCUGGUAGUCCACACCGUAAACGAUGAGUGCUAGGUGUUUGAGGGUUUCCGCCCUUAAGUGCCGCAGCUAACGCAUUAAGCACUCCGCCUGGGGAGUACGACCGCAAGGUUGAAACUCAAAGGAAUUGACGGGGACCCGCACAAGCGGUGGAGCAUGUGGUUUAAUUCGAAGCAACGCGAAGAACCUUACCAGGUCUUGACAUCCCUUGACAACUCCAGAGAUGGAGUGUUCCCUUCGGGGACAAGGUGACAGGUGGUGCAUGGUUGUCGUCAGCUCGUGUCGUGAGAUGUUGGGUUAAGUCCCGCAACGAGCGCAACCCUUAUUACUAGUUGCCAGCAUUCAGUUGGGCACUCUAGUGAGACUGCCGGUGACAAACCGGAGGAAGGUGGGGAUGACGUCAAAUCAUCAUGCCCCUUAUGACCUGGGCUACACACGUGCUACAAUGGCGUAUACAACGAGUUGCCAACCCGCGAGGGUGAGCUAAUCUCUUAAAGUACGUCUCAGUUCGGAUUGUAGGCUGCAACUCGCCUACAUGAAGUCGGAAUCGCUAGUAAUCGCGGAUCAGCACGCCGCGGUGAAUACGUUCCCGGGUCUUGUACACACCGCCCGUCACACCAUGAGAGUUUGUAACACCCAAAGCCGGUGGGGUAACCUUCGGGAGCCAGCCGUCU
rnacentral:rRNA from 2 species